AUAAAGUUUAAUUCUAGUUUAAAGGUUUAUUUAAUUUUUUUUUUACAUGUAAAUUUUUGUAUGGAUAUUAAUUAGAUUUUAAGAAUUUAAUUAAAAUAAUUUAUUCGCAGUAUUUAAUUUUAAUAAUUUAAGAAAUUAAGAAUUAGAAAUAAAUUUUAAUAUUAACAAAUUUUGUGCCAGCAGUUGCGGUUAUACAAAAGAUGUGAAUAAAUUUUAUUAGUAAAUAAUUAUAUGAAUUAUUGAUAAAUUAAAAUAGUAUUUAUUAGGUGAAAUUUUAAAUAUUAAAUUAAUUUAUAAAAAAGUUUUUAUUAUUAUGAAAUUUAUAUUUAAACUAGGAUUAGAUACCCUAUUAUUUUAAAUGUAAAAAGUUUUACUUAAGUAGUAUUAGUUAUGUUCUUGAAAUUUAAAGAUUUUGGCGGUAUUUUAGUCUAUUUAGAGGAACCUGUUCUGUAAUUGAUAAUCCACGAUUAACUUUACUUAUUUUAUAAAUUUGUAUACCGUCGUUAUUAGAAAAUUUUAGCAGAAAAUAAAUUUUUAAUAUUUUAAAUUAAAAAAUAUAUCAGAUCAAGGUGCAGUAUAUAUCUAAGAAGAAAUGGGUUACAAUAAAUUUAUUUAUAUGGAUUAAAGUAAGAAUAAACUUUAUGAAGGUGGAUUUAAUAGUAAUAAAAUUUAAUUAAAUUUUAUGAUUUUAGCUCUAAAAUAUGUACAUAUCGCCCGUCGCUCUUAUUCUAAGGUAAGAUAAGUCGUAACAUAGUAGAUGUACUGGAAAGUGUAUCUAGAAUGAA
rnacentral:ncRNA from 1 species